UUCUUCCUCCUACUUCAUUUCUUCCUCUCCUAUGGCAAACAUGCCCAAACUUGAUCAGCUUUUUCUCUGCCCAACUCACUCACACCUUCACCUAAGUCAAUAUUUCAGUAGACAUACUAUUCAAUGCCAUAACUCAAUGGUUUACAUCCUUAAUUUUGGUCAAAAACCACCCAACAAAGCUCAUGGUUUUGAGCUCCAACAAUGGCUAUAAAUACCCUAUGUGCUCAAACAUACCACACAGAUCAACAUUACUCCAAUCAGAAUUACCUCAAAUCAAGAAACAAAAGAGGAGAAGAAGAAAGUUAAAAAUUCGUAAAGGAUUUUUUCACACAGCAACACCACCAUAGCACCACCUACGAACCACCAAUUUUCGGUCAACAAUUCGUCAGAAAGCGUGACUCAAGGAACCCCCAAAAAAAAAAAAGAAAACCCCAUACUCAUUUUCUCUCUCCUCUGUUUCGGUUCCCCCCCCCCCGACACCCCCAUCAGCCACCUCAGGCGACGCCUGACCUGCGCCGCGCUUCGUUGCACCUUCCCCUAGCCUCGCCGUCGUUCUCCGACCACCUGCGCAACUCGCCGGCCAUCCGUCGCACCGGCAAGCACUCGUUCUCUCUCCUCGCACCAUUCUCUAUCACCCUUCUCCUUCGCGUAUAGCUAUACCACGCAAGCACCGGCGAACUCCAUCCGCCACCGUCAUUGCACGCCGCAUCGCCUCGCCGUCGCACCGUCUCUGCUCGUGGUUGCCGUUCGCCGGAGAUGUCACUCUGCCUCACACUUGUCGACCCUGCUCAUGGAGCAGAGAUUAAAGAAGAUAAAGGAUAUUACAAGCCUCCCCCGGCUAUCAUGGUUGGUAAGCAGGAAUUCAGGUAUGGAAGAACAGAUAUGGAUCACUAUUAUACUGCGUUGUGGAGAUUUCGUAUGAUUCUAUGAGGGUUUAGGAUAUUUUGUAUGAUGGAUAAACCAGCAUUAUUUUACGAUGAGUAAUUGUAUAGUGAAUUUUAAAUUUUAGGCUACUAUUUUAUUUGUGGGCCAUAACCCACAUGAUUAAGUUAUGCUUCCGCUGGCGAUUAAGGUCAUGUUAAUUUGUCGGGGCGUUACACAACUACUCAAAUCACCCAACCAUUAAAUAUUAUUUUAGCCGAAAUACCUUUUCCUAAGCCCAUAAUAGGGAAACUAUAUGAACCCCAAAAUUUUCCCCAUACUUAUUUUCUCUCUCUUCCUUCUCCUUUUUUUCGGCCUCCCCCUAUUCUCUCUCUCUUUUCGAUCUUCUUCCUCACUCGGCCAACAACAGCCGACAGCACCGCCGCCGCCAGUCGCGCCUCCCUCUUGUUCUAGUGUGUCUCCCUCCUUUCCUUGGUUUUGGUUAUUUUCUUCCUCCUCAAGUUAUAUUCAAUGCGAAGCUUGUAUUUUUAAGAACUGUUUUAAUAUGUUUAUGUUUAAAGUUAUAGUUUGAUGAUUCAAAUAUAAAUCUAAGCUUAUGUAGUUUAUAUAAUAAAGUAAUUAAAUUUUAGAUUUAUUUAUUGUGUUUGAAUUGAGAUUUUAAGUAUCAAAGCAUGGAUUUUCAGGAUUUUAUAAGUUGGAAAAUCAUAGUAGUAUAUUAUAGUUUAUGAAAUUGAGUAUUCUUAUGAUUUAAAUUAUGUUUAAGUGUGUUCAAAAAAGGGUUUUAUUAAAUUAUAAGUUGUUGAAAAUUUUGUAAGAAUUAUUAUAAUGGAGUUAUUAUGAUCAACGUAUGAGUUUUUAACAACUAAUACAGUGGUACUAUUAGGAGGCUUUAAUAAUUAAGUUUUAAUGAUGGGAAAGGUUUUUAAACACUUUCAAAUAGGGUUUAAAGUAUUUUAAUAUUGCAGAAAAGUUAUAGAGUAUUGGUUUAUGGUUAUGUUGGUUAUUUUAGGCGGAGAAUUCUCUUUAGGCGACUUUUAAACUUGUGAAAGUGGCCUCUCGAUUUGUCUACACAAGGUACACAUACAUAUGUGAUGGUUGGAUUAGUAUCAUGUCCUAAGGAUGCGAUUUAUGUAGUAUCAUGUAUAUAAAUAUUUUUAGUUCAUAUGUAAUUUAUAUUCAAUUGGAUUUCCAUGUUUUAUGUCGUGUGAAGCAUGUUAAUUAUGAUGGUGAUAUUAUGUUUGUAUGAAAUAAUAUUGAUGCAAGCAUAUGAGAUGUGAGAACUUUAUUUUAUUAAUUCACAUGAGGGAUUAAUAUUUAUGUUGGUAUUGGAUCAUGAUUGAAUCAUUUUUUCCCAUUGAAUUAUUUAAUUACUUUAUGAGGAACGAGGGCCUUAAUUAGUAAGUUGAUUAUUACAUGUAUAAAGGUUAUGGACUUAAUGUUGGAAUUAAUAUUGGAUUGUUAAGUUGUUGAUCACAUUAUCUAAUACUAAGAUAAAAAUGGAACUUUGUGUAUCUUGAUGAUUAUAUUAUUCGUCCUACUUGUAAGUCAUAACAAGUAAAUAAAUUAUUAAUCAUUAGAAGGGAAACGUGAAUAGCAAUAACUUUAGACUCGUGCAUGUCUAAAGUGUUGAACAAGUAUGAGUUGGAGUACAUGGUGGUAGCUCAUGGCUUUUCUUGGGAUCGGAUUGAUUAUCAUAACCUACUUUUAUCUUAGAGGUUUCUCGAUAUCGUAGGUCAUGGGAGUAUGGAGUCGCGCCCAUACUUCGUAUUUUAGAUUGAAGACUGAAUUUGGUAUAGACAUCUCGUUCCAUUAAAUAUUCCAUCUAAAUUAAUUAAUUUAUUAGUUGUGGAGUUUAGUUCACUAAAGGUAGUAUGCGAUGUUAUUGUUAUUAUCUAUUCCUGCUUAAUAUGUAUUAGUAUCAUGUUAGAUUUUAAUUAAUUAUUUACUUACUAUUUAGUACUCAACUUUACUGAUUACGUGCUUUGUGUGUAUGUGUUGAUCAUGACUGCUAUGCCUUAUUGAUCAUGUGAUGACCUAGUUGGUAAGCAUUCUCUCGGGAUCAACAAAGCAUCGUUGUUUACAGGUUUGAAAAUGAUGCAUUAUGGGUUCGAGAAUUUGGAGAGCUUUGUGUUGACUUUACAUUUUAUAAUUGACUUUGACUUCCAUAGUCGACUUUUACAUUUGAGGUAGACUUUUGACUUUAUGUUGGUUUGAUUGUUGAAGUUGACUUUUUGGUUGACAAUGUUUUAUUUCUAAAGUUAUUUAUUAUUA